GCCGUGUUCAGGGACCCGACCGGAGAGAUGCAGGGCACGGUGCAUCGCCUGCUGCUGGAAGAGAGACAGAGCGAGCUCAGGCCCGGCUCGGUGCUGCUCCUGAAGCAGGUGGGAGUCUUCUCCCCGU